rnacentral:lncRNA from 1 species
AAUACCAUACUCCAUCUGGAACCAGGCUCUGGCCCUUCAUCGAGUGUAGGUUCAUAACAAUCUUUCAUUUUCAAAUACAGAAUCUCCUCAUCCGGGAAGUCAUACCGAACUGACUGAUAGUCUUCAAUAGGCUGAUGUGCCAAAUGGUCAGCCAAGAUACUACCUUUAAUAGCCCUUUGAGCUCGAUACUCAAUAUCAUACUCAGAUAAC